rnacentral:rRNA from 1 species
UAGGGAAUCUUCCGCAAUGGACGAAAGUCUGACGGAGCAACGCCGCGUGAGUGAAGAAGGAUUUCGGUUCGUAAAACUCUGUUGUUAGGGAAGAAAAAAUGUAUAGUAACUAUAUACAAAAGAGACGGUACCUAACCAGAAAGCCACGGCUAACUACGUGCCAGCAGCCGCGGUAAUACGUAGGUGGCAAGCGUUGUCCGGAAUUAUUGGGCGUAAAGCGCGCGCAGGUGGUUUAGAAAGUCUGAUGUGAAGGCCCACGGCUCAACCGUGGAGGGUCAUUGGAAACUAAUAAACUUGAGUGCAGGAGAGAAAAGUGGAAUUCCUAGUGUAGCGAUGAAAUGCGUAGAGAUUAGGAGGAACACCGGUGGCGAAAGCGGCUUUUUGGCCUGCAACUGACACUGAGGCGCGAAAGCGUGGGGAGCAAACAGG